CAAGGAAUUUUCCCCAAUGGGCGCAAGCCUGAGGGAGCAACGCCGCGUGCAGGACGACGGCCUUCGGGUUGUAAACUGCUUUUGGUGGGGACGAUAGUGACGGUACCCGCCGAAUAAGCCCCGGCUAACUCUGUGCCAGCAGCCGCGGUAAGACAGAGGGGGCAAGCGUUGUCCGGACUGACUGGGCGUAAAGCGCGCGCAGGCGGUGCGGGGCGUCGGUGCUGAAAUCGGGCCGCUUAACGGCCCGUGGCGUGCCGAUACGCCCGUACUGGAGGGUGGGCGAGGGUGGUGGAAUUGCCGGUGUAGUGGUGAAAUGCGUAGAGAUCGGCAGGAACACCCGUGGCGAAAGCGGCCACCUAGCCCGCACCUGACGCUGAUGCGCGACAGCGUGGGGAGCGAACUG
rnacentral:rRNA from 1 species